AUUGAACGCUGGCGGCAGGCCUAACACAUGCAAGUCGAGCGGAUGAAGGGAGCUUGCUCCUGGAUUCAGCGGCGGACGGGCGAGUAAUGCCUAGGAAUCUGCCUGGUCGUGGGGGAUAACGUCCGGAAACGGGCGCUAAUACCGCAUACGUCCUGAGGUAGAACGUGGUGGAUCUUCGGACCUCACGCUACCAGAUGAGCCUAGGUCGGAUUAGCUAGUUGGUGGGGUAAAGGCCUACCAAGGCGACGAUCCGUAACUGGUCUGAGAGGAUGAUCAGUCACACUGGAACUGAGACACGGUCCAGACUCCUACGGGAGGCAGCAGUAGGGAAUAUUGGGCAAAGGGCGAAAGCCUGAUCCAGCCAUGCCGCGUGUGUGAAGAAGGUCUUCGGAUUGUAAAACACUGUUAGUUGGGAGGAAGAGCAGUAAGUGAAUACCUUGCUGUUUUGACGUUACCAACAGAAUAAGCACCGGCUAACUUCGUG
rnacentral:rRNA from 1 species